CCACUGAAGCCUUCACUAAGCAACUGAAGACAGGGGGAAAGAGUGGGUUGCCCCCAAACUAAAAAAAAGCUAAUACAGUUGGUAAAACGUCACCCAUAUCGGAACUGUUGGUUUUUGCAAAACAACAACAACUCAACAACUUUUGUGUCCGGAUUUUCACUUUGUGAAAUACGGCAACCCUAUACCAAAUGCAACCUAUUAUUGCAUGGGGGCUGGAAUGGACCGUCAUUUCCUAAGACAAGUACUUGAUGAAGAUAUGGAACAGAGUCCUUGGGUGUGUUUUUAGCCUCCUAUUUCCACUAAUCCUUGGAAUCCUACAAAAAAUAUCAGCAUAACACAGUUUCAUCAACAGAGCCCCACAUUGUUACCAUCAGCUUUUGCUUGUUAGAUUUCUCCACUUGGCAGAACAUUUUGAGGGCCUACCAGUGACAAUGAGCCCCCUAUCCCAAUGUAAGGGCCAAGUCCUCUAUUACUAUGUCCACAUGUUGACUCUAACUGCAUGGCAAAUCUAACUCUAACUCAAAAGAAAGCCAAGAAGUCCUUCUGGGUGUAAGAAAACCUUUUAACCAAAAGGGAAAUAUACUUCAGGAAGUUUAUUUUUUUUGCUCAACACCAUCGUUUUGACCCUAUUUCAAGUUCUAUGCACAUUGUUUUGCACCAUGCUCUGCACUUGAAACAUGUACGCCUCACCCCUGCAAGUCCAUAUGACAUUAUUUCAACUCUUCACCCUCCUGUUGACAAAUCAUUCAUUUAAAGGCUUCGGUAAUCUGAACUCACUAAUUUGUUUAGUGAUGUCACCGAAGUUCAUGCUUAUCGGGCUCAUAAUACAGUUUUGUUCCGUUAAA